UAAGGAAUAUUGGACAAUGGACGCAAGUCUGAUCCAGCCAUGCCGCGUGAAGGAUGAAUGCCCUCUGGGUUGUAAACUUCUUUUACAGGGGAAGAAAGUUAUCUUUUUUAGGAUAUUUGACGGUACCCUAUGAAUAAGCACCGGCUAACUCCGUGCCAGCAGCCGCGGUAAUACGGAGGGUGCAAGCGUUAUCCGGAUUCACUGGGUUUAAAGGGUGCGUAGGCGGGUAUGUAAGUCAGUGGUGAAAUACCGGAGCUUAACUUCGGAACUGCCAUUGAUACUAUAUAUCUUGAAUAUUAUGGAGGUAAGCGGAAUAUGUCAUGUAGCGGUGAAAUGCUUAGAGAUGACAUAGAACACCGAUUGCGAAGGCAGCUUGCUACGCAAAUAUUGACGCUGAGGCACGAAAGCGUGGGGAUCAAACAGGAUUAGAUACCCUGGUAGUCCACGCCCUAAACGAUGAUUACUCGACAUUAGCGAUACACAGUUAGCGUCUGAGCGAAAGCAUUAAGUAAUCCACCUGGGAAGUACGACCGCAAGGUUG
rnacentral:rRNA from 1 species